CAUUUUAGCUGAUGAAACAACAAGUGUUUGUCUUGAACCAAGUUUAAGGAAGACUAAAGAGCCAUAUUUCUUUGAGAGUUCAUGGAAGUCUACACCAAGAACUGAACUAUCAAGUUGGUGUAAGUUUCCAAUUAAUGGAAGGCCUUUAGGUCCUGGUGGAAGAUUUGGUUUCUUAGAUGUUUUGUGUUUUUUGAAGAAGAAGAAUAGCAAGAGAGCAAAAGCUAGAAGAGCAAGUGGUAACAUGUUUUGGUUUAUGAAUUAGGGACAACUAUCUAGCUAUUGUAAUCUCAUGUGGUUCUGUGUUUGUGUCUAAAUAUGCAUGUGUAUAUAUUGGAAAUGCUAAGGGAGAGUUGAGAGGGAUAUAUUUGAAUAAUGUUAUAUCACUCUAUAAAAUGUUUGUACCAAAGUUAAUAUCUAUCUCAGAAGCAAACAAACACCAUAAUAUAAUAAAAUGAAAAAUUAAACAAGACGCAUCAAGACGGCGGUGAAUAAAAUAACAUUAUGUUUAGAUAACAAAUUACUUGUAAAACAUAAACAAAAAAAACUAAAUCCAUAUAGAAAUCAAUUAUAAGUAAGAUCUAUCUACUUUCAUACUUAAAAAUAUUUUAAAAAGUAUGAUAGUUAAAGACAUUCAAUUUUUUUGAUUUCACAUAAAAAAAAUACAAUUACUAACUUAUCUUUAAUUAUUUUUUCUACUGAUACUUGUCCUUAAUUAUAAUUGUCAUCUUUCACAAUAUUAAAAAAUUAAUGCAAUGAUAUUUAUGGAACAAUUUUAUUAUAUAAGUUUAAAUGUACGUUUGAUCCUUCAAAUUUUUCAACGGUGCAAUUUUAAUUCUUACUUUUUCUUCUUUGUAUUUCUUAGUUCCUAUUCUAAUUUUAACCAAAAUUUACUGAUGUAUAUUUUCAGAGUUUUCUACCAAACAUCUCCACAAUUGUACCUGCCCCCUCAAAAUACAUAAAAAGACAAUUUUACCUCACACAAGGCCCACAACUCACAUCAUAUAAUGAUAAUGAUGACUUUGCAACAUCUUCUAGAAAGACAUAAACACAAUAAUAGAGGUAACUAAUUUCCAAAGGCUGCUCAAUAUUCACCUCCACUAGGAGGAAAACAAUGUCCGCUUCAAUUUUUGGCUAAAUUACAUAUGUAGUCCUUUAAUUUAACUUUAGGUAACGUUUUAGUCCUUUAUCUUUUUUUUCCCCGAUUUAGUCCUUUAUUCUUAACAAUAUCAAAUAAAGUAUGAAAAUAUGAGUUUAUUUGAAGAUUUGCGUUACGAAUUUGAUGAAAUUUGUAUUAUAUUGAAGAAUAUAAUUAAUUUUAUGAGUUUUGAUUGAAUUUUUUUUUGAAUUUUUGUAUAAAAAAGGAUAACAUUGUUGAAAUUUUAAAACAUAAAAUAUCAAAUUGUCGCUUAAAAUUAAAAUAAGAGACCAAAUCGGGAAAAAAAAAGAUAAAUGACUAAAACGUUACUUAAAAUUAAGUUAAAGGACCACAAAUGUAAUUUAGCCUCAAUUUUUUUCUUUGAUAGCAACGUGUUCUUCAUUCUGUGUCGUAAUUUUGAUUCGUUUCUAUAUAUGAUUUUCCUUUAUUUUCUUCCCAAUAAAUAUAUUAUCUAAAUUCUACACUAUAAAAAAAAUUUGUAUACUUACGGAAAGUAGGUAAAUUAUUUAAUAUUUACGGAAAAACUGUGAGUAAAUUUGUUAUUGAAUAAAUUAAUUUUUUAAAUUAGAUUUCAUAGUUAGUCCGUAAAUAAAAUUAAAAAAAUAUGUGAAUAAAGUUUAAAAAAAUGCAAUUCAAAUUUAAGUUGUCGAAGUUUCUUCAUUUUUUUUUAUGAUUGAUUCUCCAUAGAUAAAUGAAGAGAAUUAAUAUAAGUUGUUUACGGAUUAUAUGUAGAUAAAGUAAAAAUAAAGUUUUAUUUAUUAUCAAUUUUUUUAAAAAAAAAAAAAAAAAACUUAUUAUUUUCCGUUGUUAAACAAAACUAAAUCGGACGUAUACCACAAACCUGCUUCAUACCUUGACUCUCAACUCUUCAAAGUUCCAUUUGCUUCAGCGGGUUCCUUUUGGUGGUGGAAGAUUUGGUUUCUUAGAUGUUGUGUUUUUUUUUUUUUUUGAAGAAGAAAAUAGCAAGAGAGCAAAAGCUAGAAGAACAAGCGGUAACAUGUUUUGGUUUAUGAAUUAGGAACAACUAUCUAGCUAUUAUAUCUGGUUGUGUGUAAAUAUGCAUGUGUAUAUAUGGGAAAUAUUAAGGGAGAUAGAUGGGUUACAUUUGAAUCCCUCAAUAAAUGUUUUUAUUAUAGUUAAUAUGUCAAUUUGAAUCAAACAAACACCAUAAAUUUUAGCUAUUUUGGUCCUCUAAUUUUAUCCUCUUUGUGAUUUCUUAGUCCUGAUUUCAAUUUGGAUUAAAAUUUGUUAAUUUAUAUUUUUAUUGACACGUGUCUCUCAAUAAUAAUUGAUUUACAGUGUGGCUCAAUAACAAUUGUACACGUGUGAAUAAAAAUACAAGUCAACAAAUUUUAGUCAAAAUUGGAAUGAGGAACUAAAAAUAAGACAGGAGAUAAAAAUUAAAAUCGCACAAUUAAAAAACUUGAGGGAAAAAAAGUGCAUUUAAACCUAUUAAACAAAGGUAGAUUAAUCUAUUUUUUCUUAUAUUUGAGUUAUAUAAUAAUUAGGUAUGAGAAUAGUCCGUUAAGGGCAUUGGUCUGACCUAUUUAUGGGUUUGUGUGGUUUGACUUGUUUAAUAAAAAGAUUAUGCUCGAAUUUUUUUAAAUUAUAUUAAUGUAAUAGAUAAAACUCAGACUUGCAAAAAAACCUAUUAAACCCGAUAAGCUGACAUAUAUAUAUAUAUAUAUAUAUAUAAUUUAUUAACGUUGUUAUUUUUUAUUAUUAUUUUAAAUUUGUUAAUUAUGAAUUUAUUUUGUUUAUUUAUUUUUUUAGAAGGUUGUUGCAUACUUGCUAGUUAUAGUUUUAUUAGAUUUGAUUAUAUAUAAAGACAUAGUUUAACCUAUUUAAAAAAAUAUAUAUAAAAUAUACUAUUUAAAAUGUGUGAAAUAGGCUUUUAAAUAGGUUUUCAGGUCAGACCAUACUUUUUAAAAAAGUCAGAUCAAGCCAGAAAAAAAAAAAAAACUUAUGAUAGGCCGUAGGUCAAACUCAGACCGAAAAAAUUAAGCGUAAAUCAAGCUCAUGCCUUUCAAAGUCUGACUUGAUUUGACAUAUCUCCACUCCUAAUAACAAUACAUCCAUUUUUAUUUAUUAUUAAGGUCCACCAUAGUACAAUUAAAGAGUUGUCAAAUAAUUUUUUUCCCUCAUUAACAAUCAUUAGAUUAAAAUAAAUUAUUAAGAACAAUGACAUGGCCUUUGUAAAGCCUACUUUACAAGGUUAAAUAUAUUUUUAAUUUUUUUUAUAAAAUUAAGAUCUUUUAAAUUAUUUUUAGUUUAUGCUUUGAUUUAUCGAGAUUUUUUUGAAAUUAAAAGUAUUAAUUUUUUAUAUAUAUAUUUUUUUUUAAAAUAGAGACUAAAAGUGAUUAAAAUUAUUUUAGAGACUAAAAAGUUAAAAAUUAUUUUAUAAAAAUUAAAAUUUUAAAAUAAUAAAAAAAAAUUUAACCAUUUAUUAUAUAAACUAGUGCUCAAAUGGCCACUAAACGUGUUCGUUUGUCUGUUGUUAUCAAUAAAAAAUUGAAAUUACAAAAUUUAAUACAAACUCAGUUGACGAUGCUCAAUUGAUGGCGAUACUCAGUUGCCGGAGUUGUGGGGAAUGAUGACGACAUAUGGGUCACACACAAUGAAUUGCGUGAAGAAGAUUUGUGAUAGUAAAAAUUCGUGUAUGUUUUUAAGUUUGUUUUAAAAUAAAUAAUUUUAAAUAAUAAACAUAAAGUAUUUAUAUCCAACGAAUGAGAUGCCUUAAUAAGUAUGGUGUAGGUCCUGCCAUAAAGAUAGGCAAUCUUGAUCCUAGGAGAUAAGGUAUUCAUGAAUCAUGAUAGUAAUAGUAUAGUACAUUCUCUUUUCUUUGCAAAAAUCAUGUAGGAUUAUACAAUUUUUCUAAAAAUAUUAUCGGUAUUUGUAUUAAAAUUAUUACAUUUAAGAAUAAGUUUUUUAUCCCUAAAUAUAUUACCCCUUCAAUAUUUCCUUGCUUGGAUUUGAUAUUUGAAAUUAAAAAAUAUUCUAUGAGAAAAGAUAUAAAAAUUGUGGAAUCACUACAAGAAGAUUGACUUCUAAUGACAGACAAAGUUGUCAAGGUUAAAAUGUUUUGAGUGACACCUGAAUCUGCCGUCAAUACCGUCAACUUUAAGGGGCCUUUUGCUAUGUUCUAAGGACUGACACUACAUAUUUUGAGGACUGUCAUUACAUGUUUUUUAUUUCUACCUAUUAUGAUGACUGUCAUUAAAAACUAGAUAAAUAUAAAUAAAUAAUUGAUAUAUUCCUACGAUGUUGUUUGUCACUAAAACUUAUUAUUAUUUAUUAAAUUAAAUUUAUUUCAUCUCAUUACUAAUUGUAACUAUAAAUUAUUAUUACCAGUGAAUUAAAUUAAAAUUUCUAAUUUUUUUUAUUAACUAAUUCCAUUAAACUUACAAUAAAAUAUAAUAUAAUUUUACUAAUUUCAUUAUAUGAAUGUUACUUGCAUUCCUAGCAUUUUACCUAUAGUACUAAGAUGAGUAUCCUAUCCUUGUGGCAAUAUUGAAAUAAAAUUAUGAACAUUAGAAUUUUAUGAAUAGAAAUUUCAUCAACAAAUUUUUUUUCACUAAUUAGAUCAUAAAAUCUUCGUAAAAGUGAGACAAUUGUUGAUUUUCCAGAACCACUUCCUCUAACUAAUGUCAAUAUUUUAUUUGAUGAAACUUUUAGAUAAAAUACGAAUGCUCCACGAGUUUCAGUUCAUCCAACUUCUUUCUCUGCGUUUCUUCUAUCUCACGCGGAUAGAGUUUCUAACUAACAUAAGACAAUCAUAUACAAAACAUUCUAUUGAUCCUAACACUCCAAGCCAAGUUUAAUUUAUUAGACAGGCUACAAAAGGUAGCAGCAAAUUCACAUGCAGGUAAGUCAAAACUCAUGAUCCCAACUAGUGAUCCUAGCAACAAAAUUUAUAUGAAUUACAAAGUAUAUACAACAUCAUUGAAGGAAUAUACAUGUUAAGAAAAAUUAUACGAUACUAUUUCAACAAAAUCCUUCAAUCAAACCAAGGACAAAUUUAAUAUAAUUCAACUAACAAAGAAUAACAAAAAGUAAAAUAACAUAAUCCAAGAAAUAAGCACUACUCAUAUCAAAUUGAAACCCCAAAUACACAAGCAUAAACAAAUGAUAUGCAUACUAUAGCUAAUCAAACAACCAAAAUACCAUUAAAUAAACUUAAUAACCCAUACAAAACAAUUGUGGCCAUAGGAAUACAAUCCAUGCAAUUCAAAAUUUGAAAACAAAAAAAAUUCAAAUUGAUGAUAUAUGAUUUAAUUUAUCGAAUCGAUGAUCCCAAUAGACAUUAAAUAUUAAUUCAACCAAAAAUAUCACAUGAACUGUAUAAGCAUGAAACAAAAUAACAAUAUCAGACAUGAACUAGUUGAAAAUUAACCUGAGCUUGAAGAUGAGAAACUCCAUAUUAGCAAGUGAUAUGAGCACCCUACUGGAUGUUAUUCUAGUGACUGGUGAAAAAGUGUCGAAGAAAUCUAUAUUUUCUAUUUGUCUAAAACCUUUGGCUACAAGGCGUGCCUUGUAUUUAUCAACAGUUCCAUCAGGUGUUAGUUUCUUUUUCAAGAUCCAUUUACAACCUAUUGGUUUGCAACCAAGAGGCAUGUCUACUAAAUGCCAGGUCUUGUUAGAACUAAAAUCAAUCAAAUCAUUCAACCAAUGCAAAUUGCAAAUAAAGGAAAAAUGAUUUUCACUUACUCGUGAAUCCCCGAAUCACUAAGUCGUAGAUCGUAUGAGAAAUCUGAAUUAAGGAAAAGGAUUGAAGAUGAACACUUAUUGGAUAGGAAAUUGAAAGAAUCGGUUAAAGAGGGAAUCGAAGAAAAUUUAACAAAACUACUACAACAAAACCCUUAUUUUGUUGCGGCCAAAAAUCCUCACAAAGAGAGGAAAUCAUCCACAACAGACACAUUUAUGGCGGCUUAAGGCAGCGAUAACUAACCCAGUCACAAAGUUUUAUGGCGGCCAAAACAACCACAAAAGCUAGUUUUUUGGUUACCAUUUGUGGGGGCUUAGACCGCCACAAAUAAUAAAAUUGAUUUAAAAAUCCACAGUUUGUGGGGGCCAAAGCCUACACAAAUUCUCCCUUUUUGAUGGCCUAGGAAUCAUAAAAUGCUGCAUUUAUGGCGGCCAAUAGACUCACAAUUCUCCAACAAUUGAUUUUAUGGCGGCAUAAGUAAUCACAAUGCUCUAACGAGCUAAUUUUGUGGCGGCCUAAGCCAUCACAAUGCUCAAACGUUAUGAUUUUGUGAGGGUAUAUGCCGCCACAAAAUCAUGUUGAUAUGUUCAAUCAAAAGGUCUAGAGGUGUUCUGUAGGCAAACACCAAAACUGCCCCUCUUAGACUUUCGUAGAAUACAAUGAUCACAAGAUUCAAAAUUUCCAAUUUUGUCACCAUUAAGCAAAUUUUGUUUUGAUAACUCAAUUAAUCCUCUUUCACUUACAUGUCCUAACCUCAUAUGCCACAUUCUAGUAGAUGAAUGCAAAUAAGAGCUAGCAACAUAAGCUUGUGCAACUAUAGUUGAACCUUUUAAAAUAUACAAGUCAUUUCUUUUAAUGCCUUUAACAAUGAUAUCAUCUUUACUAACAAUAGUCAUAAUACCAUUCUUUAUGUAUGUUGAAUAUCCUAGUAUGUCAAACAUACCAACAGAAAAUAAAUUUCUUUUUAAUUCAGGUAUUUACCUUACAUCAUUCAGCAGUACCUCGUUGCCAUUGAACAUUCUAAAUCUGAUUGUUCCUUUGCCUUGGACUUUACAUGAUUUGUUGUUCCCAAGCAGAACGACUCCACCAUCACGAAGAUCUAUUUAUUCAAAAUAAUCGUUUCUUGGACACAUGUGGAAAGUACAACCUGGGUCUAAUACCCAGUUUUUUUCACCUUCAGAAUUUGAAAUCAUCAAUGCCUCUUCAGAUUUAUAAACAACUACAACAAAUGCAACAAUUCCUUAAUCUUGAGAAUUCCUUGAUUCAUUUCUUCCAAGGCAAUCUUUUCUGAAAUGUCCUUUCUUGUGACAAUCGAAGCAUUUAUACUUCCCAUAGAUUUUGAUUUUGAAUUGGACCUAAGCUUAUUUCCAUUUGAUAAUUUCUCGUUAACUCUUCAUCUGAGACUUUGAGCAUGAUUAUCAUUCUUGAUCUCAAGUCUUUUAUAGUUUUCCUUUAUCUGGAUGGAGGCAUGCAAUUCUUCAAGAGUAAUUAUUUGUUCUCUUCCAAACAUAAUAGCAUUCUUGAAAUGUUCAUAUGAACUUGGCAGGGCUAUAAGCAAGAUCAGAGCUUUGUGAUAUAGAGGUAAUAACUCGAAUCGUUUUCGCAAGGACUUCUGAUAUAAUAAUAAUAACCAAAUUGAAAAUUGAAAAUUGAAAUUAAAAAGGGUUUUUUUAGAUUUUUGAUUUAACAGAUGAGCAAAACGAUUAAUCCACUUAUUCGAGUUUCAGACCUAUCACAAAUUCUAUCAAUGAGUUUAUUUCUAAUUUGUGAUUCUAUUCAUAUUUGACUAUAUAAUUGAUCAAACAAGCGUAAUCAAUCCUAUGUGAAUUUGGUUUCUUUGAUUGGAUUAAGCAUCACAAUCAUCAAAAUAUUACAAUUAACGAUCAAGCGUCGCAAAAUUAUAAUUCAAUUAAAUUAGAAACCGAAACCAAAUUCUGUCAAAAAAAUUUAAUCAAUCCUAUUGAAAUUCAAUUUAAGCAAUCAAAAUAUCAAUAUAAUAAAAUAAACAAGAAUAGAAUCAUUAAUCGAAAUUGAUAGUAUAACCUGAAUCUCAAGGUGUUGAUGAAACUCUGAACUCGUAGAUUAAUCUUAUAAAAUUAGCCUUUCAUGAAAUUAAAAUAAAGCUGUUUAUUUUUUGUAGCAAUUUGAAUCCUAAUUUUUUCGUGUCUAGAAAAGAAACAAAAAUGCCAAUAUAUAGCACUUGAUAUUGGGCUUUAGGGUUUAGGGUUUAAAAACAAGUGACGCACUAAUUAAAAUUAUUACGAAAGUCAUGAUUACAAAAUCUGCAAUUUAGGCCCAGUAAAAUUCAGAAUUGGUAUUUUCUUCCAACACAAAAGUUGUAGCUCAUAUGUUUAUCUUUCCAACGCCUGCUCAUAUGCGCCAAUCCGAUAUCCAGAGCUUAGGUUAUGAGCUACAGAGCGAGAAAGAGUCAAAAUACAAAUAAUAAAAUUAAAAUGCAAAUAAUAAAAUUAUAAUUCAAAUUCGACCCAAAGUUUAGAAACAAGCUAAAAAUAUUAACCUAAGCUAUAAAAAGAUUUUAAAAUACCAAACUAAAAAGCUAAAAACAUGUGCCCAAAUACUAUGAUCACUUUGUCUUCAUCAUCUAGCUUGACUUCUGAGUUCUCUAAAUCAUUAAGGAUCUUGUUAAAAUCAGUAAGUUGCACUAUGACAUAUUUCUUUUUAUCCAUUUUAAAAGAGAACAAUUGUUGCUUCAAGAAGAGCCUAUUUGAAAUUGAUUUAGUCAUGUAGAGAGAUUCAAGUUUAAGCCAUAAGGCUACUGCUGUUGGUUCCCUUGCAACUUCCCUCAAAGUUUUGUCUCCAAGACACAAGAUGAUAGUGCUCUUUGCUUUUUCAAUCAAUUAUUCCUUUUUUUUUUCCUGCAGUCAUUAUUGUUGGAAGAGCUAAUUCACCCUUCAAUGCGUUCACCAAGCCUUGAUGUACCAGAACAACAUGCAUUUUUAUCUUCCAUAGAUCAAAAUCAUUUGAUCCAUUGAAUAUUUCAAUGUCAAAUUUUGUGGUUCCAACCAUUGUUGCUCCCUUUUCCCACAGACGGUGCCCAAUUGUUAAAAUAAUAUUGGGAUCUGCAAAAAAAAUUAACCAACAAAAUAGAAGAGAAACAAUUGUAGAGAAAAAAACGAAAAUGAAGAACAUUUUUGGUUUUCUGCUGAAAACGGAGAACGUUCUUGAACAGAACUGAAAACCAGAAAACGAAGAUUGUUUAUUGUUCUCCUUUCAGCAGUUUUGAAAACCAGUUUUCAAACAAUGUAAACGAAAAUUAAAAAAAAAAAAAAAAGAUAAGAGGAGAAUAACACUCAGAUUUACGUGUUCAACCUUAAUUGAUGAGACAUACGUCACAUGCAAGCUAGCAAAACAAUUCACUAUGAAUGUUUGAAUUUACAAGAUUAAGGUCUCUUCAAGAUUGUUCACCUAGUCUUCACUAGUAUUCUCUUUUCACACAAUCUCUCUUUUUUCCUUAAUCUUCUUUUUGAUUUCCUGUGAAUCACGAACUGUUUAUGCCUGACUCUUUCUCAGCAAUCAUUGCUACUACAUACAUCAAUACACUACAACUUGCAUUUACAAUUAUAGUAUUUAAAGUCACAUUGUUUAACUAACUAUAAUAACCUUUGUCAUAACUAAUUCAGUUAUAAUAAUAAAUAACUCCAAGUUUGUUGCUAUUUGAGGCAUAUUUCCACAAUUCUCCAUCUUGACUCAAUAUCAGAAUAAUUCAUUCAUUGACCUUGCUGCCACUACUUCAACUUUACUCUUUGUAAAAGCCAACUAAGUCCAUGCAAUGCUUGAACUUAGCUUGUGAAAAUGAUUUGUGAACUUAGCUUGUGAAAGUGAUUUGGUGAAUGUAUCAGUUGGGUUAUUCUCAGUUGCAAUCUUCUCAACUGAAACCUGGUUUGAAUCAAUCACAUCCCUUAUGAAGUGAUACUGAACAUCAAUGUGUUUAGAUUUAUUAUGAUACACUUGAUGCUUGAAUAAGUGUAUAGCACUUUGACUGUCACAAUAAAUUGAAACACAAUUCUGAUUUAUUCCUAGUUCACCAAUAAGUUCUUUCAUCCAUAAAGCUUCUUUAACACCUUUAGUAAGCACAAUGAAUUCAGCUUGAGUUGUAGAAAGUGCUACCACCGACUGUGUAAUUGUUCUCCAACUUACAGCAGUCCCAUAUAGAGAGAAAACACAACCACAAAUUGAUUUUCUAGUGUCCAUGUUUUCAGCAUAAUCUGAGUCCACAUAUCCUUUGAUUGGUUCCUUGUCAUGAUAAGUCUUUUGGAACUUUAAACUUGUUGUCAGUGAGCCAUUUAAGUACCACAUAAUCCACUUGAGUACUGACCAAUGCAGUGCUCCUAGAUCAGUCAUAAAUCUACUGACAACAUUCACAACAUAAGCCAAAUCUGGCUUGCUACAGAUCAUUCCAUACAUUAUGCUGCCAACUCCACUAGCAUAAGGAAUGAUACUCAUUCUUUGUUUUUCCUCAUCAGUCUUAGGCGAGUCUUGCAUAGACAAUUUGUAAUUCUAUCCCAAAUGAGUAGUAACUUGUCUUGCCUCAUGCAUUCUAUAUUUAGUGACAACUUUCUUCAAGUAGACAACUAGAGAAAGAAAUAGUUCCCCCUUCAUUCUGUUUCUUUUUAUAUCCAUUCCUAAGAUCAUUUUGGCCUCUCCAAGUUCUUUCAUCUCAAACUAUUUCUAAGAUCAUCUUUGAGCCUUUUAAUAUGGUCUUUACUUGAGCUUGCAAGGAUAAUAUCAUCCACAUAGAGUAAUAGGUAUGUUGGAGAACAUUCUUGACUUUCCUGAAAAACUGGAGAAUAUUCUUGAGCUGGAGAACGUUCUUGACUUUCCAUUUUUCAGAAUGUAAACACAACUGUCAAAACUACAUCUUUGGAAACCGACUCUUAUCAUGAAAUCAUCAACUUCAUAUACCUUUGUCUAGGACUUUGCUUAAGGCCAUACAAUAACUUUUUAAGAAGACAAACCUUGUUAUUGCCUUUAACAAAUCCUUUAGGUUGCUGCAUAUAAAUGGUUUCUUCCAGAUCACCAUGUAUAAAUGAUGUUUUGACAUCCAGCUACUCUAAUUCCAAGUCUUGUUGAGUUACAAUUGAAAGUAGAAUUCUGAUUGAACAAUGUUUUACAACAGGUGUAAAUACUUCAUUGAAAUCAAUUCCUUCAAGUUGAGAAAAUCCCUUUGCAACUAAUCUUGCUUUGAACCUUAUCUUCUCUUUACCUAGAAUGUCUUCCUUUCUCUUAAACAUCCAUUUUGAUCCAAUUACCCUUUGACUCUUAGUAAUGUCAACCAAAAUCCAGGUUUGAUUAUUUUCUAAUGAUUGCAUCUCUUCAUUCAUAGUUGUCAUUUAAGCUUCUUUGUCUUCACUAUUAAUGGCUUCCCUGUAGUUGCUUGGUUCAUCUCUUUAAAGAUCUUUAGCAACACUUAAAACAUAACAAAUUAAAUAUGCUUCACCAUAUCUGAUUAGAGGCUUGAUAACCCUUCUUUCUCUAUCCCUUACCAAGUUGUAAUUGGUCAAAUCUAUUUAUGUUGGAGCAUUAUCAUCAAGUGAUGUAUCUGUUAUGUCUUCAUGAUUAAUCUCUUGAUCCUCAGGUAACUCCACCUUAAUUUGAACACUCUCAUCGUUGUUGUUUGAAGCAUUGUUAAAUGGAGAAUAUUUUGUGUUUCUGGAAUGUUAUUCGUUUCUGCAGCACUGAAAUGGAGAAUGUUCUCCGUUUCUGCAAAACUGAAACGGAGAAUGUUCUUUGUCAAUCAUGGGCAUUUUUGUUUCAUCAAACACUACAUAUCUUGAUAUGAUGCACUUGAACAUACCAUGGUAAAUUCUACAUGUAACGCCCCGGAUUUUGAUCCAAGACAUUACUUAAAAAUAUUUAUUUUCUUUCAAAAACGGCUUAAAUUUUUUUUUUUUAAAGUAGUUCAUCAUAUAAUAAAUAAAAUUUCUCUAGUAAAUAGUUUGAUUCCAUUUUAAAAAAAAUACCACAAUGCGAUUUAUCGGAUAUUAUUAUAUGUAAAGACAAUUUACUAAUUGUAGAAAAUGUUCGCUUACAAAUAGAAUAAUUCAAAUUUUUCCUAGCAGAAGGACCCCGCCUCCGCAUUUCUAUUAAAAAUCAACGAUGAAAAAUAAAUAAACUUAAAAAUUGUAUCACAACGGUUUUAUCACUACAAACAUUAUUAUUAUUAUUUUAUUAAAGUACCCCUUUUUCCCACGCGUGUGCGCCAAGCAAACGUCAUUCAUGCAACCCUUCAAGAUCGUUACUACCUAAAUGUUGGUGUAAGGGGUCAGUUCAUCCCACGGAAAAAUUAGACCAAAUAAUAAGUUAACAACCAUAAAAUAUAAAUAUAAAAUCUUUUUGUAAUAAAAGAUUUAGAGAAAAUGAUUUUUAUAAUUCAUAAGGUGUAUCAAAAAUUAUAAAAUAUAUCUAAACAACAAGUAGUAACUCACCUUAGAAUCAAUAAUUAUAUAAAAAUAACAAUGGCAAUAAAAUGUAUGCAAAUUAUGCAUGUCCUAAACAUACAUGACCCGGAUAUAGCCAGCCACUAAGGCGUCCACACAGAAGUCACCCAUACCAAUGGGGAAAAUUAACCCAGCCACUAAGGCGUCCACUAAGAUGCAUAUGGUAUGUCAUGACAAUGAUAAUGAAUGUUCGAAAUGUACAAGUCACUAGCCACUUAGGCAACCACAAAGAAAACUAUUCAUUAAUGCAUUCAAAAAUCAAUUUCCUCAUAUUGGUAAAUGAAAAAUAAACCUUUCACCAAUUUCAUCAAAACACGUAUAUUGUUCAUAAAAGUCAAGUUUUAAAAUUUAAAUACUCAAGAAUCAAGGAUUAAAAUUAAAUACAUCAUAAUAAACAUGUUAAUGACUACAUCAUUAUAAAAAUUAUAACUUUAUAAGUAAGUACUCUAAAACAUGUAUGGCAUUGAACGUUUUCACAACAAACAUAUUGAUGAAGGUAUGGUAAUAAAAUAUAAUUCUACAAUUAAUUUCAUCAAAAUAGAGGUAUUACUCAAAAGAAACAAUCAAAGCAUGAUAAUUAAUUUUCUUUACGACGAAAAUAAAAUCGACAUUUUUCUUUUAAUACAUCCAGACAUCAUAUCAAUAUCUUACGACUCGCUAAUUUAAUAUCUAACCUAACUUUGCAUGGGAAAAAAGCCCUUACCUUGGACGCUUUCCUUCCACGUACCACUAUAUAGCCCUCGAAAAUCUCACAGACAUGAAUAAAAGUUUAUAGCUCCGAUCAAAAAGCUAGGGAAUGUAAGGAUGGUUGUUUGAGUGGCUUAGAAAAUAUUUGAGAUAAAUGUAGUGUCGGUAAUGCGUGUGAGUGAUUAUGACUUAUUUUCCUCUACUGUAAGUUUAAUCGUGUCCUAAGAAGUAGAGGUGUAUGUGACUAAUAAAUGAGGCAUAAAGCUGAUAAGAGAGAAUGAAUAAUUCUCUUCAUUGAGUUUAAUUGCACACAUGAAUAAGGAAUUAAAUUGGAAUAAUGUCAUUCAAUGACCAACCGUUAAGAAUUAAUUGGCAUUCAUGUAUUUGUUCUUGCUAGUUACACAUUUGAAUGGACACAAUAUAAAUUAAAUUUUAUAAAAUAUGGUUAUAAAAAUAGUAGUGUGAGUGAUUAAAUUUGACUUAGUCAAAAUUGGCUUGGUCAUUGUUCACUCUAAGACAAAUAUUUCUACGAGUUUUAAUUAGUCAAUAAUAAAAAUCCCAAUAAUAAAUUAUUUAAUAUGAAAAUACUUUAUCAAAUAAUUAAACAUUCAAAGAAUAAUUAUCUUACUAUUGUCACACUAAAUUAAUAAAAGGAUAAACAAAACUAAUGAUUCUAAAUUAAUUAAUUAAAAAAAAAGAGGAUGUUACAAUACUUACCCCCUUAAAAUAGUUUCGUCCUCGAAACUAAGAGGUCUCUAAAAGGUAUGGGUAAAGCUCUCUUAUCUUCUCUUCCAACUCCCAAGUAGCAUCCCCAGUCAUCUGGUUCCAAAUCACCUUAACCAACGGAAUUUCCUUUCCCCUCAAAUGUUUGGUAGUUCUGUCGGCGAUGCUUAUCGGUGGGACCUCGAAGGUAAAAUUCUCCUUCAAUUGAAUAUCAUCUGGCGCAAUAAUAUGGGAUGGAUCUGCAAUGUACUUCCUCAAUUGUGAUACAUGGAACACAUCAUGUAAAUUAGCUAAAUUCGGUGGUAAAGCAAUUUGAUACGCCACUGGACCCACACGUCGAAGAAUUUGAUAUGGUCCAAUAAACUUCGGAGUAAGCUUUUUAGACUUCAAUGCCCUACCAACUCCAGUAGUAGGCGUCACUCUCAAGAAUACAUGUUCAUCCUCCUGAAACUCCAAGGGUCUCCUAUGUCGAUUAGCAUAACUCUUCUGCCUGCUAUGUGCUGUUCUCAUCUGCUCUUGGAUCUGACGCACCUUCUCUGUAGUCUGUUGCACCAGCUCUGGCCCUACGAUUAAGUUUUCGCCAUCCUGAUACCAACACAAGGGAGUUUGACACUUGCGCCCAUACAAAGCCUCGUACGGGGCCAUACCGAUGCUUGCAUGAUAGCUAUUAUUAUAGGUAAAUUCGACAAGAGGCAAUAGAUCAUCCCAACUUCCUCUGUUAUCUAAUGUACAAGCUCUUAGCAAAUCUUCUAAGGUCUGAAUAGUCCUUUCAGUUUGGCCAUCGGUUUGAGGGUGGUAAGCAGAACUCAAUCUCAAUUUAGUACCCAAUGCCUCAUGCAAUGCUCCCCACAAACGAGAAGUGAACUUUGGAUCUCUAUCUGACACAAUGCUAGAUGGUAUCCCGUGUAAUCUAACAAUUUCCGCAACGUAAAUCUCUGCAAGCUUAGAUACAUUGUAAGUAGUCCUUACAGGUAUGAAAUGUGCGGAUUUUGUGAGCCUGUCAAUAAUCACCCAAAUGGAGUCAAAUUUCUUCUGAGUCUUAGGUAAUGCCACCACAAAGUCCAUAGAUAUGCUAUCCCAUUUCCACACUGGUACAUCUAAUGACUGCAACAAUCCAACAGGUUUUUGGUGUUCAACCUUAGCCUUUUGGCAAGUCAGGCAAGACGCCACAUAUUCCGCCACUUGUUUCUUCAUUCCUGGCCACCAAAAUCUUUGCUUCAAGUCUUUAUACAUCUUUGUAGUACCAGGAUGAAUACUCAGUUUGCUCUUGUGGGCCUCAUCCAAAAUGGUUUUUCUCAACUCUGCAUUAUCCGGCACACAAAUACGUUUAUUACACCACAAAAUGUUAUCUGGACCCAUUUGAAAUUCGGGAGCCUUGCCGGUCUCAACCAAUUUUCGUCUCCCCUGAAUAGUCUCAUCGGUCGCUUGAAGGGCUUUUAUCUCAUUCAUUAGUUUAUUAUCUACAAUGAUCAUUCCACAUUGUACUUUUCCCGACAAAGAAUCCAUAUUAAGAUCCAAGUCGCGAAAAUUCUCUAACAACUCUAAUCCCUUCAUUUUUAUGGAUGACAAAUGGGCCCGCUUCCUACUCAAGGCAUCAGCCACCACAUUGGCCUUUCCUGGGUGAUAGUGCAACGUGAACUCAUAAUCCUUGAUGAACUCCAUCCAUCUCCGCUGUCGGAUAUUAAGCUCCUUCUGGUCGAACAAGUAUUUCAAACUUUUAUGGUCACUGUAUACAUCAAAAUUGCACCCAUACAGAUAGUGCCUCCAAAUUUUUAGUGCAAAAACUAUUGCAGCCAACUCCAUGUCAUGCGUGGGAUAAUGUUUCUCAUGCACCUUCAACUGUCUUGAAGCAUAUGCUACCACCUGUUUGUUCUGCAUAAGUACACAACCCAACCCUUGUAAAGAAGCAUCACAAUAAACUUCAUAUGGUUCUUCUGGUUGUGGUAACACCAACACCGGUGAUGUAGUUAGCUUCUCUUUCAUCAUCUGAAAACUCCUUUCACAUUCCUCCGUCCAUGCGUAAAUAUGAUUCUUCCUUGUGAGUUGUGUCAACGGCGCUGCAAUCUUGGCAAAAUCCUCAAUGAAUCUUCUAUAAUAUCCAGCCAAGCCCAAGAAACUUCUAAUCUCUGUGACGGUCUGUGGUUGUUUCCAUGCCACCACAGCCUCUACUUUAGUUGGGUCGACAGCGAUACCUUCCUUUGAAAUAACGUGUCCCAAGAAUUUCACCUCCUCCAACCAGAAUUCACAUUUCCCCAAAUUAGCAUACAAUCUCUUGUCCUUCAAGACUUGCAAAACUUGACGUAGGUGAACUUCAUGUUCCUCCAGGCUCUUAGAAUAAAUCAAUAUGUCAUCAAUGAAGACCACUACAAAUUUGUCUAAGAAGGGGUGAAAUAUACGAUUCAUGUAGUCCAUGAAAAUAGCUGGUGCAUUGGUGACACCAAAAGGCAUCACCAAAUACUCAAAGUGUCCAUAGCGAGUCCUGAAUGCAGUUUUAGGAAUGUCUUCUUCCUUCACCCGAAUCUGAUGAUACCCCGACUUCAAAUCAAUCUUAGAAAAUAUCAUUGCUCCUUUGAGUUGGUCCAUCAAGUCAUCAAUGCGUGGCAAGGGAUACCUAUUUUUGAUGGUGACUUUGUUAAGUUGACGGUAAUCGACACAGAGUCUAGACUUUCCAUCCUUCUUCUUCACUAGGAGUACUGGUGCUCCCCAAGGUGAGACACUCGGUCGUAUGAACUGUUUAGAUAAAAGGUCCUCCAACUGAUUUUUCAACUCUGACAAUUCCGAUGGAGACAUUCUAUAUGGUGCAAUAGAUAUAGGUCCUGUACCCGGAGUCACAUCAAUUGAAAAUUCAAUAUCACGAACUGGGGGUAAUCCUGGUACAUCCGGCGGAAAUACCUCUGGAAAAUCUUCGACCACAAGUAUCCCGUCUACCCCCACCUCUAGCUUCGUACCGACUGAGUUGAGGGAAACACACUUCCGAACUCCCUCUUUCAAAGAGAAGUUCAAUUUAUUGGUAUCGAGGAAUCGAGAAACACCUGGGUCUGGGAAUAUCACAGACUUACGAGCACAAUCCAAUAGAACAUAAUGGCUUGACAACCAAUCCAUUCCAAGGAUCACUCCCACAUGCUUGAGGGGAAUACAAAUCAAAUCAACGUUGAAUCUCAUAUCGAACACAAUCAACGGGCAUUGCAAGCAAGCCGUAUUACAUUUCACUGAUUCGGUAGAAGGUAGGGUAACCACCAAAUCAAACGGCAAAGUAGUAAUAGUAAGUUGGAGCGAAUCCACCCAAUCCAAUGAAAUGAAUGAGUGUGUUGCCCCCGAAUCAUAAAUUACAUUAAGUGAUUUUCCAGCAAUUAAACACUCACCUUGGAUAAGCUCAGAGGAAGAUGGAGUUUCCUCUCCAUUGAUGUGGUAGACACGUCCCUUGGCAGUAGGGCGUACAACAUUGUCGUUGAUAUUGUUGCGGUUGACAGCUCUAUCGUCCUUCCGUUCAGGGCAUUCAUUUGCAAAAUGGUCUGGUUUCUGACAAAUGUAACAAACCCUUGGUCUGAUUGGACACUCAGACAUCUUGUGUCCCUCUCUGUUGCAGCGAAAACACUUAACAGGGUACGCCUGGUUCUGACUUGGAACUUUUGGCCCUUGACCUUCCCCGUUUUGAGGUCGAGGUUGAUCUCUAGCAUUCCCCAGUGGUCGGGCAUAUGGCUUGUAUUGUUGAUGCUGCUUGCCCCUAUUAUGUUGGUCGUUAUGCCCCUGUUUUCAAAUAUUAACAUUUAGAGGUAGAUAUUCACAUUUAGAGGCCAAACUUAUGACUCUAAUGAUAUGGAUGGAUUUAAAUCUCUACCUGAGGUCUGAUGGGUCCACCUACAACACCCCUAUUCAGACGGCUCUGUUUCAUCUGCUCCACUUUCUUGCAUUUCUCCACUAGUACUUGAUAUUGGCGUAUCUCCAAGGGCCCCACUAACUCCUUAAUUUCAUACCUAAGCCCACUUUCAAACCUCUCGCACAUGUAUUCUUCAUCUAUCUGAUUUAGGAAAUAGCGGAAGUGCUUUGCUAGGGACUCGAACUUUGCCGCAUAUUCCGCUAUCGUGAGAUUCCCUUGAUACAACUUCAGAAAUUGGGCCUCCUUCUCAGCCCUAGCACUUUUCGGGAAGUAUUUUUCUAGGAACUUAUUCUUGAAAGCCUCCCAGGUUAGCUCUUCAUGAUUUGUCUCCAUCAUUUUCUUCGCACCUCGCCACCAGUAUUCAGCUUCACCAAUCAUCAAAUAGGUUGCAUACUCUACUUUCGCAUUGUCAGAGCAGUGUAAGAUCUCGAAGAUCUUCUCGAUUUCUUGCAGCCAAAGAUCAGCCUUGUCGGGGUCAUGUUCCCCUUUGAAUUUAGGCGGAUCUUGUCGACGAAAUUCAUUCAAUGCUCUUGCUGCACUGGCUGCUUCAUCCCUCUGAUCCCUCUGUGCAUCUCGUUGAGCCUGGAUCGCAGCUUGUUGGGCCAUUGCUGCGGCCAUAGCAUAUCAUAAAAUGUUUAUUGCUUGAUUAAAAUUAUUUCUAAUCAUAGGAUCAAGAAUUUAAAACAUAUUUUUCAUCAUAAUUAUUCAAAGAAAUUAGACAAUUAAAUUCACACAAUUGAAAUUUAAGUCAUUAAUGACAUAAAAUAGUUUGAAAAUCAAGCCCUUAGUACAAAAAGAAGUAGAGAGUUUAAAAUAAAUAAAAUAAAACAAUCAUACGAUGAAUAAGUAAAAAUCAUAAAGAUUAUAAAAUGUAACAACUUAAAUAAAAUAUAAAAGACAAUGCCAAUAAAAGCAUGCAAGUAGUUAUAGAGAUUUCUGGUUUGAAAAAUUUAAAUAACACUAUUAAACCAAAUAUUUAAAACAUAUAUUUAAUGACAAAAAUCAUGGAGGUUAUACAAUUGAUGACACAUAAUAGAAAUUUAAGUAAAAUUUAAUAAUUAGAAAACCAAGCAAUUAACAUAUUUAAUGACACUUAAUAAGAAUUUAAAUUUCUGGUUUGAAAAAUUUAAAUAACACUAUUAAACCAAAUAUUUAAAACAUAUAUUUAAUGAUACAAAUCAUGGAGGUUAUACAAUUGAUGACACAUAAUAGAAAUUUAAGUAAAAUUUAAUAAUUAGAAAACCAAUAAAUUAACAUAUUUAAUGGCACUUAAUAAGAAUUUAAGUAAUUCUUAAAAAUUCAAAUUCAAGAAGGUUACACAAUUAAUAACUUAAUAAAAGUUUAAGUAAUUAAUAAAAUUCAAUUUCAAGAAGGUUACAUAAUUAAUGACAUAUAAUGGACAUUUAAAUAAUUAUUAAAACUCAAAUAAUUAGAAAAUUAUACAAUUAACAUGAAUAACAUAUCACAAGAAAACAUGCGACAUACACGAAGCGUCCCAUCCCACCAAGGUCCGAGAAAUAGUGCUCUGAUACCACAAUGUAACGCCCCGGAUUUUGAUCCAAGACAUUACUUAAAAAUAUUUAUUUUCUUUCAAAAACGGCUUAAAUUUUUUUUUUUAAAAGUAGUUCAUCAUAUAAUAAAUAAAAUUUCUCUAGAAAUAGUUUGAUUCCAUUUUAAAAAAAAUACCACAAUGCGAUUUAUCGGAUAUUAUUAUAUGUAAAGGCAAUUUACUAAUUGUAGAAAAUGUUCGCUUAAAAAUAGAAUAAUUCAAGUUUUUCCUAGCAGAAGGACCCCGCCUCCGCAUUUCUAUUAAAAAUCAACGAUGAAAAAUAAAUAAACUUAAAAAUUGUAUCACAACGGUUUUAUCACUACAAACAUUAUUAUUAUUAUUUUAUUAAAGUACCCCUUUUUCCCACGCGCGUGCGCCAAGCAAACGUCAUUCAUGCAACCCUUCAAGAUCGUUAGUACCUAAAUGUUGGUGUAAGGGGUCAGUUCAUCCCACGGCAAAAUUAGACCAAAUAAUAAGUUAACAACCAUAAAAUAUAAAUAUAAAAUCUUUUUGUAAUAAAAGAUUUAGAGAAAAUGAUUUUUAUAAUUCAUAAGGUGUAUCAAAAAUUAUAAAAUAUAUCUAAACAACAAGUAGUAACUCACCUUAGAAUCAAUAAUUAUAUAAAAAUAAUAAUGGCAAUAAAAUGUAUGCAAAUUAUGCAUGUCCUAAACAUACAUGAUCCGGAUAUAGCCAGCCACUAAGGCGUCCACACAGAAGUCACCCAUACCAAUGGGGAAAAUUUAACCAGCCAUUAAGGCGUCCACAAAGAUGCAUAUGGUAUGUCAUGACAAUGAUAAUGAAUGUUCGAAAUGUACAAGUCACUAGCCACUUAGGCAACCACAAAGAAAAAUCAUACAUAUAUAACCAGCCACUUAGGCAACCACAAAGAAACUAUUCAUUAAUGCAAUUCAAAAAUCAAUUUCCUCAUAUUGGUAAAUGAAAAAUAAACUUUUCAUCAAUUUCAUCAAAACACGUAUAUUGUUCAUAAAAGUCAAGUUUUAAAAUUUAAAUACUCAAGAAUCAAGGAUUAAAAUUAAAUACAUCAUAAUAAACAUGUUAAUGACUACAUCAUUAUAAAAAUCAUAACUUUAUAAGUAAGUACUCUAAAACAUGUAUGGCAUUGAACGUUUUCACAACAAACAUAUUGAUGAAGGUAUGGUAAUAAAAUAUAAUUCUACAAUUAAUUUCAUCAAAAUAGAGGUAUUACUCAAAAGAAACAAUCAAAGCGAAAAUCUCACCAAGAUGAAUAAAAGUUUAUAGCUCCGAUAAAAAAGCUAGGGAAUGUAAGGAUGGUUGUUUGAGUGGCUUAGAAAAUAUUUGAGAUAAAUGUAGUGUCGGUAAUGCGUGUGAGUGAUUAUGACUUAUUUUCCUCUACUGUAAGUUUAAUCGUGUCCUAAGAAGGAGAGGUGUAUGUGACUAAUAAAGGAGGCAUAAAGCUGAUAAGAGAGAAUGAAUAAUUCUCUUCAUUGAGUUUAAUUGCACACAUGAAUAAGGAAUUAAAUUGGAAUAAUGCCAUUCAGUGACCAACCGUUAAGAAUUAAUUGGCAUUCAUGUAUUUGUUCUUGCUAGUUACACAUUUGAAUGGACACAAUAUAAAUUAAAUGUUAUAAAAUAUGGUUAUAAAAAUAGUAGUGUGAGUGAUUAAAUUUGACUUAGUCAAAAUUGGCUUGGUCAUUGUUCACUCUAAGACAAAUAUUUCUACGAGUUUUAAUUAGCCAAUAAUAAAAAUCCCAAUAAUAAAUUAUUUAAUAUGAAAAUACUUUAUCAAAUAAUUAAACAUUCAAAGAAUAAUUAUCUUACUAUCGUCACACUAAAUUAAUAAAAGGAUAAACAAAACUAAUGAUUUUAAAUUAAUUAAUUAAAAAAAAAAGGGUGUUACACUACACAACUUGUAAUCUUUCACUCCUUUAGGAUAUCCAAUGAAAACACAUUUGAUUGCUCUAGGAUUCAAUUUAUCUUGCCUUAUGUGAGCAAAUGCUAAGGAACCAAAUACCUUCAUAUUUGAGUAGUCAGCUGGUUUGCCAUUCCACGUCAUAAUUGGUGUCUUAAAUCCAAUAGCUGAUGAAGGACAUCUAUUGAUCAAAUACAUUGUUGUAACUAUAGCUUCUCCCCAGAAUGUUUUAGGCAGCCCUGCACUCAAGAUCGUACAUCUGACCCUUCCCAAGAUUGUUAUGUUCAUCCUUUCAACAAUUCCAUUUGUUGAGGAGUGCCUGCAACUGUUCUAUGUCUUUGAAUACCUAAGUCACUGUAAUACUUAUUAAACUGCUCUAAAAGAUACUCCAGGCCAUUGUCAAUUCUUAAACAUUUUAGCUUAGUUUCCUUUUGAGUUCCAAAUUGCAUAUGCCAUUCUUUAAAUUUCAUAAAAGUGUCACUUUUAUUUUUAAUGACAUAGAUCUAUAAUUUCCUAGAAUAAUCAUCAAAAUAAGCAUAUUCAAAAGGUCUAGAGGUGUUGUGUUGGCUAACACCAAAACUGCCCCUCUUAGACUUUCCUAUAUACAAUGAUCACAAAAUUCCAAUAUUUCAAUUUUGUCACCAUUAAGCAAAUUUUGUUUUGAUAACUCAAUUAAGCCUCUUUCACUUACAUGUCUUAACCUCAUAUGCCACAUUCUAGUAGAUGAAUGCAAAUAAGAGCUAGCAACUGAAGCUUGUGCAAUUAUAGUAAAACCUUCUAAAAUAUACAAGUCAUUUCUUUUAAUGUCUUUAACAAUGAUAUUAUCUUUAUUAACAAUAGUCAUAAUACCAUUCUUUAUGUAUGUUGAAUAUCCUAGUAUGUCAAACAUGCCAACAAAAAUUAAAUUUCUUUUUAAUUCAGGUAUGUACCUAACAUCAUUCAGCAGUACCUCCUUACCAUUGAACAUUAUGAAUCUGAUUGUUCCCUUGCCUUGGACUUUACAUGAUUUUCUGUUGCCAAGCAAAACGACUCCACCACCACGAAGAUCUAUUGAUUCAAAAUAAUCAUUUCUUAGACAUGUGUGGAAAGUACAACCUGGGUCUAAUACCCAGUUUUUUUCACCUUCAGAAUUUGAAAUCAUCAAUGCCUCUUCAGAUUCAUAACCAGCAUCAACAAGUGUAGCAUUUCCUGAAUCUUGCGAGUUCCUUGAUUCAUUUCUUUCAGGGAAAUAUUUCUUCAAAUGUCCAUUCUUGUGACAAUGAAAGAAUUUAUACUUCCCUUCAAAUUUUGAUUUUGAAUUGGACCUAAACUUAUUUCCAUUUGAUCAUUUCUUGUCAAUUCUUCUUCUGGUCACAUUCAGACUUUGAGCAUGAUUAUCAUUCUUGAUCUCAAGUCUUUUAUAGUUUUCCUUUGUCCGUAUCGAGGCAUGCACUUAUUCAAGAGUAAUUGUUUGUUCUCUUCCAAACAUAAUAGCAUCCUUGAAAUGUUUAUAUGAACUUAGCAGGGCUCUAAGCAAGAUCAGAGCUUUGUCUCAAUCAUCUAGUUUGAUUUCUAAAUCAUCAAGGAUCUUGUUAAAAUCAGCAAGUUGAACUGUGACAGAUUUCUCUUCAUCCAUUUUAAAAGAGAACAAUUGUUGCUUCAAGAGGAGCCUAUUUGAAAUUGAUUUAGUCAUGUAGAGAGAUUCAAGUUUAAGCCAUAAGGCUGCUGCUGUUGGUUCCCUUUCAACUUCCCUCAAAGCUUUGACUCCAAGACACAAGAUGAUAGUGUUCUUUGCUUUUUCAAUCAAUUAUUCUUUUUCUCGAGCAGUCAUUGUUGCUGGAAGAACUCAUUCACCCUUCAAUGCGUUCACCAAGCCUUGAUAUACUAGAACAACAUGCAUUUUUAUCUUCCAUAGACCAAAAUCAUUUGAUCAAUUGAAUUUUUCAAUGUCAAAUUUUGUGGUUCCAAUCAUUGUUUAUUCCUUUUCCCACAGACGGCGCCAAUUGUUAAAAUAAUAUUGGGAUCUGCAACAAGAAUUAACCAACACAAUAGAAGACAAACAAUUGCAGAGAAAAAAACGAACAUGGAGAACGUUCUUGGUUUUAUGCUCAAAACGGAGAACAUUCUUGAACAGAACUGAAAACCAGAAAACGAAGACUGUGUAUCGUUCUCCUUUCUGCAGUUUUGAAAACUAGUUUUCAAACAAUGUAAACGAAAAUUAAAGAAAGAUAAUGGAAGAAUAACACCCAAAUUUACGUGUUCAACCUCAAUUGAUGAGACAUACGUCACAGGUAAGCAAGCAAGACAAUUCUCAUCAUUCAUAAAACAAAUCGAGUCAAAAACUCUCUAUAGCAUAAAACCCGAGAGGAACAAUCUACAUAGAAAGAUGAUUUUUAUUUAUUUGAACAUAUAAUACAAAGAUAGAGUCUCUUAUUAAAAUACCAUAGAAAGAGUUUCAUCCAUACACAAUUUUUUCACUAACACUUCAUCUCCAGAUACAUUCUUUAGAGACCCCAUGAAAGCAUGGCUUUAUCAGCUCAAAUAAGGAAAUGGCAUAUAUAGUAAUGUCUUGGUAACAAACAAGCAUGCUUUAUUUUCUUAUCAUUAAGAUAACACACAUGCAAUUCGCUUCUUAGCAACAAGGCACAAAGGAUGUUUCUUGUGUUUAACAAGUCCUGGAAGACCAUCAAUGUCUAUGUCUUCACUCUUUACUCCUUCAGGCAUUUCCCAAUCAAACAAAUAGAGAAGAUUAGCAAGUACAAGCUCCACUGUAGCAACCGCCAUGUUUAAUCCAGGACAAACUCUUCUGCCCGAACCGAAUGGAAUCAACUCGAAAUCUUGUCCUUUUAAAUCUAUAUCACUAUUUAGGAAUCUCUCCGGAUAAAAUUCUUCUGGAUUCUUCCACGCUUCGGGGUCCCUAUGAAUUGCCCAAGCAUUCACAAACACCAGUGUCUUAUCUGGAAUUUCAUAUCCAUCAAUGUUACACUUUUUCAUCGUUUCUCUUGGUAAAAGUAUGGGCAAUGUUGGAUACAAUCUCAUCGAUUCUUUUAUAACUGCCUUUAGAUAUGGAAGCUUUUGAACAUCUUCUUCCUCUAUAAAACCCUUCCCUUUGAACGCUUUUCGAAUUUCGUCUUGUACUUUCUGCAUCACUCUUGGAUUCUUCAUUAGUGCAGUCAUAGCCCACACUACUGCGGCUGCAAUUGUGUCUGUUCCCGCCAACAACAUAUUCUGAAAUAUAUUGACAAAGAUGUAUCAUAAUUAGAAAUAUAUUGAUAAAAAUAAUAAUUAAUAUAAUUAAAAAUUUAAAGAGAGUUCUAUGAAAAGAGAUAAAAAUAAAAAAUAAAAAAUUCUCAAAAGAUUUUAUAUUUAGAGACGGGAGGAUGACUAUAAUAAUAAUAAUUGACGACAUCAACCAACCACUAUAAAGAUAGGUUUUUAUUUUACUAUAUUAUUUUGAUUUAUGUCUGACGUCAUAGAUAUUAAAGUAGUGCAUUUCUAUUUAUACCACCGUCACUAAUAAUGAUCCAUAGAUCAUUUCUAUUUUUUUAUGAGUCAAAUCGUAUCAUAUAUUAAUUUAUUAUUAGUGAUACUAAUUACUAACUCCAAAUACAAGAUGUGGCAAAGGCUAUAAAACAAAGAAGAUAGUACAAGACAGACAGUGCCACAAUUUGUAAUGAAUACACAACCAAACAACAAAAGAGACAAAUUAAGAUCGUUUUUAUUUUAACUAGUAAUAAAUAGAAACAUAGAUCAUCUACUGCAGGCCAGAGAGAUCCAAAUUCUAACAAAUAGAUAGAAAAAAAAAAAUUAAUGUAAGCAUAAAUAACAAUGAAAAUGAAGAUGUCACUAAUUGUAUCACUAAGUAUUAUUACAAAGUGCUAAAUUUGGAGAUCACUUAAUUUCCUUUUUGGAUAAUUAUUUCCCGCCAAUAAUUCAACUUUACGUAUUAGAGAUCUAUCAUUAAUUAAAUUAAUUCAAUAGUUUGAAAGUAUCACGAAUUACGAUGUAGCAUAAGUGGUUGGUGUAACAGGUAGCUAGUAUUGUAAUUUUUUAAGAAAUAAAUUCGAUUACUAAUCAUAAAUGGGUUAGAUUUCGUCAAAGAGGCAUGAAGAGUUUUACAAAAAUAAUAAAAGGUUUUGAAAAUUUAACUUAGACUAAGGCUUAAUUAGAGUGAAGAAAACAAAAAUAAAAUAACCACUAACCAUGAUCAAAGGUUUGAUAUGUUCAGAAGUGAGAUCCAUUGACCAGUAAGGAUCAUUCUUCAAUUGAAUCAAUGCAUCAAUUACAUCCAUUUCAUUUGGAGGCAACUUUUUCCUCUCUGGAUCAAGAUGUUCAUCAACAACACUUUGAAAAAAUACAUCUAAAUUUUUGAACGUUCUCUCAAGACGACCUGUCAUUCCAGUGAACUUAUCAACGAUUCCUCCAAGAAAAGGCAAAUAAUCGGUGUAAAAGAAUGAAAUCGUCAAGUUUUGGGCUUCUUUAAGCAAAUCAUGAAACAUGCUACGCUCAUUUCCUUCCUCUUCAUACCUUCGACCGAACGCGGUCCUACAAACUAUGGUGCUUGUGAGACAAGUAAGAUGCUCAUGAAGGUUCAUAGCUUUGUUGCUAGAAGCAUAUUCUGAUAUUUUCUUUAUCAAUUGAGUUACUUCAUAUUUUCUAACUGAGUAAUACAUUGAGACACGUUUUACACUAAGAAAAUGGAUGAAUGAAAACUUUUUGGUGUGUCUCCAAUAUUCUCUAUAUGGUGAAAAAACUUGGUCUAAUCCAUCAUAGGAGAAUUUCAUAUGGCUGAUUAAAGCAGGUCGGUUACAAAAUUCGAUAUCGUGUGUUUUCAUUACUUCUUUGGCCAUUUUAGCUGAUGAAACAACAAGUGUUUGUCUUGAACCAAGUUUAAGGAAGACUAAAGAGCCAUAUUUCUUUGAGAGUUCGUGGAAGUCUACACCAAGAGCUGAACUAUCAAGUUGGUGUAAGUUUCCAAUUAAGGGAAGGCCUUUAGGUCCUGGUGGAAGAUUUGGUUUCUUAGAUGUUUUGUGUUUUUUGAAGAAGAAGAAUAGCAAGAGAGCAAAAGCUAGAAGAACAAGUGGUAACAUGUUUUGGUUUAUGAAUUAGGGACAACUAUCUAGCUAUUGUAAUCUCAUGUGCUUCUGUGUUUGUGUCUAAAUAUGCAU
rnacentral:lncRNA from 1 species